rnacentral:rRNA from 1 species
CAACAGGGAUUGCCUUAGUAACUGCGAGUGAAGCGGCAAAAGCUCAAAUUUGAAAUCUGACGUUUUUGACGUUCGAGUUGUAAUUUGGAGGGAUAUCUUCGGAGCUGGCACCGUCCUAAGUUCUUUGGAACCGGACAUCAUAGAGGGUGAGAAUCCCGUGCCUGGAUGGCUGUCAAGCUCCAUGUGAAGUGUCUCCGACGAGUCGAGUUGUUUGGGAAUGCAGCUCAAAAUGGGUGGUAAAUUUCAUCUAAAGCUAAAUAUUGGCGAGAGACCGAUAGCGCACAAGUAGAGUGAUCGAAAGAUGAAAAGCACUUUGAAAAGAGAGUUAAAUAGUACGUGAAAUUGUUGAAAGGGAAGCGCUUGAGACUAGAUUCGGCCGGUGGUGAUCAGCCAUGCUUUUGCGUGGUGCACUUGCCGUCGGUUGAGCCAGCAUCGGUUCUGAUGGUGGGAUAAAGGUUCGAGGAAUGUGGCCCCCCAAUUGCGGGGAGUGUUAUAGCCUGGAGCGCAAUGCCNCCUGUUGGGACCGAGGACCGCGCUUUCGGCUAGGAUGCUGGCGAAAAGUCU